UCCAUGUUGUGUAUAGGUGUGUUUCA
rnacentral:piRNA from 1 species